GUCUGGGUUCUGAAAGGGAAAAACACCCCUGGCACUCAGGCCUUUGGCUACCUCCUUUUCGCCGGGAGGGACGGAGGAUGCCUCGGAUUGCUCUGGGGCUGGGGAACAGGAGGACAGCGCUCUCGGGAGGGGCGAGGGGGUGCCUGUCCUCCUCAGUCCCUCUUACUUUAGGGGACCGGACUGUCGCGCUCCCACCCCACCCCAGGCGCAGGUUCCUGAAGGCGGGCUGGGUGGGUCUCCAGGUUUCCAGAGGGCUGGUUGCGUAGCAGGGAGAAAAAUCAAGACGUUACACCCCACUCCUCCCGUUUUAAAUACUGAUUCAGCUCGGAGCUAGGCUGAAGGCACCGUCAAGCCUCCCUGGAAUGGUACUCAUCAGAUCGUGGAUUGAGGGAUGAAGGAGGAUUUUACCUCACUUGUUUUCAGAGACUCUUUUAACUGCAUUUUAUUAAUGCUUUUGAAGAUUAGAAGAUAUUUUGCCUUCUGGAGUUUCUCUGACUUGCUUGAUGAUGAUUUAAGCUCAAAGCUGCCAGUUUAGGGGAGAUGAUCAAUAAGCCCUUGUAACAUCUGAG